GACGAACGCUGGCGGCGUGCUUAACACAUGCAAGUCGAACGGAAAGGCCCUGCUUUUGUGGGGUGCUCGAGUGGCGAACGGGUGAGUAACACGUGAGUAACCUGCCCUUGACUUUGGGAUAACUUCAGGAAACUGGGGCUAAUACCGGAUAGGAGCUCCUGCUGCAUGGUGGGGGUUGGAAAGUUUCGGCGGUUGGGGAUGGACUCGCGGCUUAUCAGCUUGUUGGUGGGGUAGUGGCUUACCAAGGCUUUGACGGGUAGCCGGCCUGAGAGGGUGACCGGCCACAUUGGGACUGAGGUACGGCCCAGACUCCUACGGGAGGCAGCAGUGGGGAAUAUUGCACAAUGGGCGGAAGCCUGAUGCAGCAACGCCGCGUGCGGGAUGACGGCCUUCGGGUGGUAAACCGCUUUCGCCUGUGACGAAGCGUGAGUGACGGUAAUGGGUAAAGAAACACCGGCUAACUACGU
rnacentral:rRNA from 1 species